UGGGGAAUAUUGGACAAUGGGCGAAAGCCUGAUGCAGCCAUGCCGCGUGUAUGAAGAAGGCCUUCGGGUUGUAAAGUACUUUCAGCGGGGAGGAAGGUGUUGUGGUUAAUAACCACAGCAAUUGACGUUACCCGCAGAAGAAGCACCGGCUAACUCCGUGCCAGCAGCCGCGGUAAUACGGAGGGUGCAAGCGUUAAUCGGAAUUACUGGGCGUAAAGCGCACGCAGGCGGUCUGUCAAGUCGGAUGUGAAAUCCCCGGGCUCAACCUGGGAACUGCAUCCGAAACUGGCAGGCUUGAGUCUUGUAGAGGGGGGUAGAAUUCCAGGUGUAGCGGUGAAAUGCGUAGAGAUCUGGAGGAAUACCGGUGGCGAAGGCGGCCCCCUGGACAAAGACUGACGCUCAGGUGCGAAAGCGUGGGGAGCAAACA
rnacentral:rRNA from 1 species